UGCUUCGUACGGGAGGCAGCAGUGAGGAAUAUUGGUCAAUGGGCGGAAGCCUGAACCAGCCAAGUCGCGUGAGGGAAUAAGGCCCUACGGGUCGUAACCCUCUUUUGCCGGGGAGCAAGGGCGGGGACGUGUCCCGGCCCGGAGAGUACCCGGAGCAAAAGCAUCGGCUAACUCCGUGCCAGCAGCCGCGGUAAUACGGAGGAUGGGAGCGUUAUCCGGAUUUAUUGGGGUUAAAGGGUGCGUAGGCGGGCUUUUCAGUC
rnacentral:rRNA from 1 species